rnacentral:misc_RNA from 1 species
UUUGAUAGAGUGGUGCGUUUUAAAGAGCGGCUGGUCCGCUUUUACUUUGGGAAUAAGUGUAUGCUUAUAUGAGUAAUUAGUCAAAAUGGCUCCCAGUCCUGUAGAAGAGCUGGCUCUUUUGGACCUAGAAAGGUAGGUAUUUGGUGUUGUGUUUUAGUGACUGAUUCUGGGAUGGAUGUCCACUAUACUUGCCGUGUAUUUUUGUGAGUGGGUAGUCAAAACGGAAAAUUCCGCCAUUGAAGAUAAAAAAUUCUUCGUUCUUUCAGAUCGAACAAGGGCGCAUCCAAACAACGCCGCGACCAAAUUAACAAUGAGAUCGGAACCCUGCGGGAUCUGUUGCCCCUCCCUGAGAGCGCCAGACAACGCCUCUCUCAGUUACAAAUCAUGUCCCUCAGUUGUGUUUUUAUCCGGAAAUGUAAUAUCUUACAAAAACGUAAGUUUUUGACAAAUUAUAUAUAUUUUUUGAUUUGUGUGUGUGUGUUGGUGUUUAUCAAAAUGUCUAUUCACCGGGUUAAAUUUUUAUCAGACGAUGACGAAAGCCUCUUAACUUCUACUGACACAGUCAUCUGUUUAUUUUCAGUAUUUAAUGCCACACCCGGGACCUCAUCGGAUUCACCAUGCGAUUUUUCACAGGUAAUUCAAUCUUAAGCUUACAUUAUUACGUCUUGUAUGUACGUAUUAAAUGGGCUUCUCUACAGUUGGUAUUUAACCUACCUGUUAGAAUAAUAGAUUCCAGCAUUUACGUCAUAGAGCUUAAAGGUCAAAUUUUUUUCGCUUCGUUGAGUGAUAUAUGAUAUUAGCCCGAGGCGGUGAAUUUUAAUGGCUCAUCGAAGCACUGUCUAAGACAGCAGACAGAGUACAAGCGAAAGAUUUGAUUAAGUACUCUGUAUAAUGACUUCAGUUAGCAUGUUAUGUGUGUAGGCUCACCAUAAACAUGUCCCUUUUACCUUCAUCGCAACACAACGGCGAAUGUCUAUAUUUAGUCUAGAUUGACGUCAGCGGUAACAGGUCAUACAGAUAUGAGAGGAAACGAUAGACGUUUUCAAAAUAUUACACAGCAAUAACAUUCGUUUUAAAUUAUGAGAAGUGAAUUAGAAACAGACUACUUCAAUAGUUUUUUUUGUAACAUUCCUUCACCCACCACUGUUUAAUGGCGUAACUCAAUUCCCUUUAAAAAGAAGUAAUACAUUUUAAUGCAUAUUUAAUUUCUUUUUUAGUCUUUGACUGGGUUUUUGCUUGUUACCACACGUGAAGGAAAACUGGUGUACAUUUCGGAGAAUGUUACUGAAUAUUUGGGUCAUUCAAUGGUCGACAUGAAGACUCAAGGAGACAGUCUAUUUGACAUCGUUGACAAACGCGACCAUGGGACCGUUCGCGCCCAGCUUUUACACGGCGCCGGAGAAGUUGAUCCGGAUAAAGAGGUGGCCUUCUUCUGUAGAAUGAACAUGUCCAGAACACUCAAGCGACAAGCUGGCUUCGGCGACGUCAAGGUGAUGCAUGUAAAAGGACACUUCGCAACUGUGCCAGGACAGGAACCGGGUACAGAGCAACAAGUGUUCAUGGCGCUCUGUUCUCCUCUUAUAACUCCCGACAUUAAGGAAAGCCUUAUUCAGAACAACACCAUGGUUUUUAAGAGCGUGCAUCAGCUCGAUAUGAAUUUCAUCGAGCUAACUGAGAACGGGGAGUAUCAUCUUGGGGUUAAAAAUGAAGACAUCUGCAGCAAAUCUUGGUACUCUUAUCUGCAUCCCGAAGACAUUUAUGAAGCCCGAGAGAAACAUGUGCAAUUGAUCAAGUCUCGACAUGAGAUGGGAUGCAUGAUGACUGUUCGCAUGAUUACAGCAUCGGGCGAAAUUAUUUGGGUCAACAUCGUUAUGCAUGUUCGCCAAGCCUUAUUGUCAAACAGCGAUGAUCCAGUAAUUCUGUGCAUUAACCAAGUCAUUAGCGAGAAGGAAGCCUACCAAUUCAAAGUCCAGGGCCAACUGUUCGCCCUUUACGCUGCCCGAUCUCCCGACUUCUUCUUUGGUACUGCUUUUUGUGCUCCCAUUACACCAGCAAUGGAAAAUGUCAUGUCCCCAUCUUCUGGUAUUCUCCCUCCGCCCUUCUUCUCUCGUCAGCAGCCUUUCGAUAACGCGCUCACAGCGCAAACGGCACCUUAUAUGCAAAACCCUGUUGCAGCAAACCAAUCCACUAUGUUUAUGAAAAAUGGGUUACCAGCCAAACGUCGGACGCCAGGGUCACACCGAUACACUCAAAGCCCUCAAGAGGAAGAUCCAAGAAAAUUAUACAUGUAAACCGCCCGUCAAAGUUCCACGCAUGAUCAAUGGUCUUGCGCACAGAAACACAUUCUCUCCACCACAAGACACCACCCCACUGCCACCAUCAUUUGAAAGUAACCUCUACAGGAACACCUUUGGUCCUCACGUUGGAGGAGGAGAUCAUCGCGGAAUAGGACAGGGGCCCAUGCAGGUCAUGUACGCCCAUAACCUAUCCACCGUGAUGAUGUCGCCAAAGGAGAAAAGCUUACAUGCCUGAUGUUUUCUCACCGAAACCAAUGUACGAAGAGAAACGAUUAGAGCAAGUUGUUCCUGAUGUCACUAUCCCACCAUGUUAUCUUACGCCCGAGCCUUCACCGGUUUCAUCCCCAGAACCACCAAAGAAAUGUGAGCCCGUGCGCACAGUAAAAGAGACCAAACUUAUAGAUCCAUUGCUCAUCGCAAAACAUCUUUGUGCUUUAAAGCAAAGACAACUAAAUCCAAAUGCUUCUAUGAAUCCAAAUGGUGAGCCGCGAAAACUCUUGCCAAGCCUUGACGUUGAUUACGUUGAUUCGUUUUUCAACGAAAUAGACAAUGUUUCGCUGACGAGAGAAGAAGAAAUCCUACUGCUUCAGAAGAUUGCGAGGGAGAAAAUAACCAUCAAAGAAGAGCCCAUCGAACACGAAGCCUGCAAAGAAAACCAUGAACCUCUGACGAAUGACUUCGAUAUCGAAGAAUUCCUACAGUUCACAGAGAAACCAAAAGAUGAGACAGUGCAGGUCAAGGUGGAAUCUCGAAGCGAUGAUCAGCAAGUGAUGAGUUUCGAGAACUCCCCAUCUCCAUCAUCUCCCUACAGCACAAUCAGCGCAGCAGACGACAAGUUCAACAGCGAUGACUUCUCAUCGUUUGCCCUCACACCGGAAUCGGGCUUUGAAAGCGAUUCAUUGGAUGACGUACUGGAGACUGACUGCUGGGAUUUGGAGUCGGUAAAGAUGGACCUGUCAAUGACGUCCACGCCGCCAAAUCACCCGGCUUUCAGGAUGACCCCAGACGUUCAUCCGGAACCUGAGUUGUAUCAACUCAAACAACUCAUUUCUUCUUGCACGCCAAGUGGUAUGCAGGAUUUCACCGAAGACUCCCAGUAGGCCGUUGUGUAAGUUCCGACUUACGAUUUUCUUUCCGUAUGGCAUAUUGCCAUUUUCCUUCUACUAUUUCGUCAUUUCCAUGCGAUCCGCAGGACCGGAGGUAGCCAUAGGACUUGACCAUUCCGCUGGCCGGAAUUCAAACAUUUUUCGUUCGAGUUUUAGAUUGUGUAAAUAAAUAUGCUUGGACAAAUUUGUGCAAAGUUCCACUGGCUGGAACUGGACACUUUUAUAUCUUUGAUACAAUUGUACUUUUGCAUGUGUUUUUGUACCGUACUGUCAAGUGUACUUUCUCGUUUGUACAAGAUUGUUGGGCUGGUCUCGCUGUCUUUUAAAUGUGUAGAUUUUGAAGUUAUCAAACAUCUAUAUAUUUUUUCCAAACGAUAUUGUAUUUUUAGAUCGGUACUUGUACCUUCAUUUUAUUGUGUAGAUUUUUGAAGUUAUCAAUUAUCUAUGUCAUCAUCACCCUCAUUCUAUCAACCCCUCGUUAACGCUGGUCGUUAAUGAAAAUUAAGAUGGAGAAUUUGUUUUUGAUUUUGAUAGAAAUCUUACAAGGAAUCGCUUGUCUAUUUUCUUGACUGAUCACUAACAUUUUUCUUUAACGUCAAUAAGACGGUUAAGGGCUGGUCCCUUUGUCUUUGAGGCUGGUACUCAAGUUUUUCUCAUGUUUUUAUUCAUAUUUUGCUUAAACUCGUCCAAAGAUUUACCGCUGGUUCGGAAAUAUUAUGCAUUUUAAUUGUAUAUUAAUUUUUUGUCCAUAAAUUUUGCUGUUCUAGAAAUUGUACGUUUCAGUUGAGCAUAUUUCUGGUUUUAAUAAAUAUACAAGAUU